GUUUUCGACUCCGAGACAGUGGUGUCGCGCCGUGAUGACGUAACAAAUCGGCGUUUACCGGGUAGCUAUUUGCUAAAUGGAACAAUAUGCUGUUGUUUUAGCCAACGAAUAGAGUUUUACUGGGGGAAAAAUAAACAAUUCAACAACAUGACCAACAGGACAUCUUAUUUCUAUGACCCAGACGUGGGGAAUUUUCACUACGGUGCUGGCCAUCCGAUGAAGCCUCACCGUCUGUCUCUGACACACAGUUUGGUGCUUCACUAUGGACUCUACAAGAAGAUGAUGGUUUUUAAGCCAUACAAAGCUUCACAGCACGACAUGUGUCGGUUCCACUCUGAGGACUACAUAGAUUUCUUGCAGAAGGUCAGCCCCAACAACAUGCAGGGCUUCACUAAGAGCCUGAACACAUUUAAUGUGGGAGACGAUUGUCCUGUGUUUCCAGGUCUUUUUGAGUUCUGCUCCAGAUACACUGGAGCCUCUUUACAGGGAGCUACACAGCUGAACCACAAGAUCUGUGACAUUGCCAUCAACUGGGCUGGAGGUUUGCACCAUGCCAAAAAAUUUGAGGCGUCUGGCUUUUGCUACGUCAAUGACAUUGUCAUCAGUAUAUUGGAACUCCUCAAAUACCACCCGAGGGUUCUUUACAUCGACAUAGACAUUCACCAUGGUGAUGGCGUCCAAGAGGCGUUUUACCUGACAGACCGUGUCAUGACUGUCUCUUUCCACAAAUACGGCAACUACUUUUUUCCAGGAACAGGUGACAUGUACGAGUUUGGUGCAGAGAGCGGCCGGUAUUACUGCCUCAACGUUCCUCUCAGGGACGGCAUUGAUGACCAGAGUUACAGACACCUCUUCCAGCCGGUUAUUAAACAGGUGGUGGAUUUCUACCAGCCGACCUGCAUUGUUCUACAGUGUGGAGCAGAUUCUCUUGGUUGUGACCGACUGGGCUGCUUCAACCUCAGUAUACGAGGACAUGGGGAGUGUGUUGAGUUUGUAAAAAGCUUUAAAAUUCCUCUGCUUGUUCUGGGAGGUGGAGGAUAUACUGUGAGGAAUGUGGCUCGCUGUUGGACCUACGAGACGUCUCUGUUAGUGGACGAAUCCAUCAGUGAUGAACUGCCUUAUAGUGAAUAUUUUGAGUAUUUUGCUCCAGACUUCACGCUGCAUCCAGACGUCAGCACCAGGAUAGAAAACCAAAACUCCAGACAGUACUUAGAGCAGAUCCGUCAGACUGUGUUUGAGAACCUGAAGAUGUUAAACCACGCACCCAGCGUCCAGAUCCACGACGUCCCCUCAGAUAUGCUGAGCUACGAGCGUAAUGACGAGCCAGACCCCGAUGAGAGAGGGGCAGAGGAAAACUACACCAGACCUGAGGCAUCCAACGAGUUCUACGAUGGGGAUCACGACAACGACAAAGAGAGCGAUGUAGAAAUUUGACCUCGGGAAAAUGCCAUCUUCAAUUCUCUGGUCAAAAGAACUUUCAAAGAAGGGCUGAAAAUCUGAAACUCUCUAUCUGAUCUACUGCAACACAGAGCACGUCACGUUGGACACAGAGCCUGUUUUGACUCAUUUCUUUUGGUGUUCGACUAAAUGUGUGAAGUGUUACACCAACGAACAGUUCAAAUUUUCACAACAACACCUUCUAUUAUACACAGUGUGGCAGCUGUGUUAUGUCUACUCUUGUAAAAUAAAUAUUGUAGGAAAGUUCUUUUUCUUUGCCUAACGGUGAAUUUGUAAUACCCAAUGUUUUAAAUAUAUUUCUCUGUCCUUUGUUUAAAUACAUUUUUUAAAUAGGAAUUUCUCUUUUUUAUAAUUUUUUUGUAAUUUCUUUUGUUAGCAGUACAUACAUUUACACAUAAGCACACGUGUCCAGAAACACAGACAGGGGCAUUUUAGCCAUUGUAAGUAUUAAUAUCUGUGUUUUUAUGUAACAAAAAUUUACAAAUAAAGAUUUGAGUUCACUUUUGUGAAAAAGAUCAUGA